rnacentral:rRNA from 1 species
ACUACACUCCUGCGGGAGGCAGCAGUGGGGAAUUUUACGCAAUGGGGGAAACCCUGACGUAGCGACACCGCGUGAGCGAAGAAGCCCUUUGGGGUGUAAAGCUCUGUCAGCUGGAACGAAAACAAUGACGGUACCAGCAGAGGAAGCAUCGGCUAACUACGUGCCAGCAGCCGCGGUAAGACGUAGGAUGCGAGCGUUGUCCGGAUUUAUUGGGCGUAAAGAGUUCGUAGGUGGUUUGUUAAGUUUGGUGUUAAAGAUCGGGGCUCAACCCUGGGACUGCACUGAAUACUGGCAGACUCGAGUGUGGUAGAGGCUAGUGGAAUUCCCAGUGUAGCGGUGAAAUGCGUAGAUAUUGGGAAGAACACCGGUGGCGUAGGCGACUAGCUGGGCCAUAACUGACGCUGAGGAACGAAAGCCAGGGGAGCGAAUGGGAUUAGAUACCCUAGUAGUCCCAUGA